CGUACGGGGACAACAUUCCGAAAGGGAUGCUAAUACCGGAUGUGACGCUCCUAUCGCAUGACGGGAGCGUGAAAGAUGGCCUCUACAUGUAAGCUAUCGCUAAAGGAUGGGCCUGCGUCUGAUUAGCUAGUUGGUAGUGUAACGGACAACCAAGGCGAUGAUCAGUAGCCGGUCUGAGAGGAUGAACGGCCACAUUGGGACUGAGACACGGCCCAG
rnacentral:rRNA from 1 species